GAUGAAGAACGUAGCGAAAUGCGAUAAGUAAUGUGAAUUGCAGAAUUCAGUGAAUCAUCGAAUCUUUGAACGCACCUUGCGCCCUUUGGCCAUUCCGAAGGGCAUGCCUGUUUGAGUAUCAUGAACACCUCAACUCUUUAUGGUUUUCCAUGAUGAGCUUGGACUCUGGGGGUUUUGCUGGCUCACAGUCGGCUCCUCUAAAAUAAAUCAGCUUACCGGUGUUUGGUGGGUAUCAUGGGUGUGAUAACUAUCUACGCUUGUGGUUUUUCCACCAGGUAACCUUCGACAGCGGAGGUUCACUGGAGCUCAUAGAUGUCUCUCCUCAGCGAGGACAGCCCUUUGAAUGUUUGAUCUCAAAUCAGGUAGGACUACCCGCUGAACUUAAGCAUAUCAAUAAGCGGAGGA
rnacentral:misc_RNA from 1 species